rfam:Geoglobus ahangari strain 234, complete genome.
GGGGUCGUGGCGUAGCCAGGAAGCGCGGCGGGCUCCAGCGGUGUGAUGACUGAUGGGUCUGCUGAGCGGUGAUGAUCCGCUGGAGUGCUGACCCGGGGAGACCCGCCAGUCGUGGGUUCAAAUCCCACCGGCCCCA